AUCUGGAAACUCCAGUUCCUAUGUGAUCACAGAAGUUAAGCAACAUCAAGCCUGGUCAGUACCUAGAUGGGUGACCACUUGGAAAUUCCAGGUGUUGUAAGC